CCGUCUGAUGCUGGAGUUGGAGUCACGUCUCUGUGGAUCAUCUCAUCGAGCUGUUCUUCUGAAUUCAUCGAUAUGAAGGCGCUAAUAGGGCUGCUGCUAUUGGUCUUUUGUCACGGUGUGUCCUCAGUGCUUCACUCUCUGCAUUAUUUCUACACGGGGUCGUCUGGACUCUCAACCUUCCCAGAGUUUGUUGCUGUUGGGAUGGUGGAUGGAGUUCAGAUUGACUACUAUGACAGCAACACCCAGAGAAAAGUCCUCAAACAGGACUGGAUGGAGCGGUACACCAUCAGAGAUGACCCCGACUACCUGGAGAGGAACACUGGAAUCUAUCUGGGUGCCCAGCAGUGGUUCAAAGCCAACAUUGGGAUUGCCAAGCAGCGCUUUAACCAGACAGGAGGGGCCCACAUGCUGCAGAUCAUGUAUGGUUGUGAGUGGGAUGAUGAGGACGGUUCUACUGAUGGUUAUAGACAGCAUGGUUAUGAUGGAGAGGACUUCCUAUCGUGGGACAUGAAGACCAUGACCUGGGUCGCUCCAGUACCUCAGGCUUUCAGUACCAAACAGAGAUGGAAUGAGGAUAGAGCUGAACUACAAUACAGGAAGAACUACAUCGUCAAGGAGUGUGUUGAUUGGCUGAAGCAGUACCUGGCCUAUGGGAAGAGCACUCUGCAGAGAACAGAGCGUCCGCGGGUGUCUCUGCUCCAGAGGAGCCCCUCCUCCCCAGUGGUGUGCCAUGCUACAGGCUUCUACCCUGACAGGGUGGUGGUGUUCUGGAGGAGAGACGGCCAGGAGCUCCAUGAGCAGGUGGACCCCGGGGAGGUCCUCCCCAACCACGACGGGACCUUCCAGGUCAGCGUGGACCUCAACCUCAAGGCCGUCCCACAGGAGGACUGGGGGAGGUACGAGUGUGUGGUCCAGCUGAGAGGCAUCGAGGACAUCUCCACCCCCCUGGACCCCGCCCUCAUCAGGACCAACGGGGGUAAGACUGGUGUUGGAGGGGAUGGAGAGGGGGAACACAUGUCUCACCACCUCCACCUGACCUCAUCACAACCACUCCACGUCUACCUGGACACUGCUGAAGCUACUGGGGGACAAGGGAGACAUCCUUGUUUUCAUCCUUCGAAGUGUUGCUUGUGUUGCUGUUGCUGCUGCUACUGCUUUUGUUGGAGUCUUUGCGUACAAGAAGAGGGACCGUUCUGACACCAGCUCUGAGGGGCAGAGUCCGGCUCCUGAGGCCCGACCUCUGACCACAGGUCAAAGUUAAAUCAUGAAGAGGUUUCGCACGUUCAGCUUCUUAAACCAGGAGGGAUUGGAUCGCUGUUCAUUUAUAUUUCUUACAAUCAGUUUUGCGCUAUAUUUGCUCAAUCACAAUAACAUUCGUACUUACUUACUUUCACCUUGAUAGCAACCAUCAAUCCGUAAGAAAAGUGUCAAUAAAUUAAAACGCUGUAUUUGUGUUUUAUUUGAUUAACUCACUGGCUUAAACAUCCAAUCUUUCACUGAUGCUUGGAAACCAUUUUGUUUUGGUUCCCGCCGCUUCAUGUUAUAACCUUUUAGUUAUGUUGUUUAGUAAUAUUUAAGUUUCAAUUAAUCUUUAAAGAUUCCGAAUUAAGAUUUUGGACAAUGAGAUUUGUCAAGUUUGAAUAAAAUAUUGGUUAAAUUGUAUGUGUUUCCUUCAAAUGUAUUGUUUUAGAGUUCUGCUAGCUAGAGAAUUGCAUUGCUACAUUGGCUACUACACUCGAGCUAGGAUGGUUUAGCGUUAAUGCUCUUUGUUGUAUUUUCUGUGUUCUUUGGGGAAUUGGAUCAUAUAUACUUGGGUU